AUUUAACGCUGACGGCAGUCCUAACACAUGCAAGUCGAACGAGUGGCGGACGUGUGAGUAAUGUCUUGGAAACUGCCUGAUUGAGGUGGAUAACUUCUGGAAACGGUAGCUAAUACCGCAUACCAUCUUAUGUGCCCAGAGGGGAUUAGCUUGUUGGUGGGGUAACGGCUUACCAAGGCGACGAUGCCUAGCUGGUCUGAGAGGAUGACCAGCCACACGGGAACUGAGACACUGUCCAGAAUCCUACGGGAGGCAGCAGUGGGGAAUAUUGCACAAUGGGCGCAAGUCUGAUGCAGCCAUGCCGCGCGUAUGAAGAAGGCCUUCGGGUUGUAAAGUACUUUCAGCGGGGAUGCGUUACCCGCAGAAGAAGAACCGGCUAACCCCGUGCCAGCAGCCGCGGUAAUUC
rnacentral:rRNA from 1 species